GCUUCUUCUUUUUGUUGUCUUCCAUUCUUUUGGUUUUAAGUCUUAUCUUGUUUUCUUUGUAUAGUAAUCCUGCGGUUUCCCUUAUAUUAGUAUUGGUAUCUUUUCUUUUUUCAACCAGUCUUUUACUGGUUUCUAGUUGGUAGCCGUUCUUGAUUUAUUUUCAACCUUUGAUAAUAAGUAAGUAAAAUGGUCCAUGUUCAUAACUUCGACUAUUUUUGUUAUCCAUUCGUUUUUGUCUGGGAUAGUUUUUUGUUUCCAUACUUUUGCGUAUACUAAUCUGGCAGCUGUCGUUAGGUAUACAAAAAUUUUGUCAUCAUUUUUUGACCAAUCUAAAUUUACCAUUCCCAAUAGGAAGGAUUCUGGCGCUAGUGGUAUAUUUACUUUUAGGAUCUUUUGGCAGGCACUGUGUAUUGUUUUCCAGUAGGUUCUUGUCUUCUCGCACGUCCACCACAUAUGAAAAUAUGUUCCUUCAAUUUUCCCGCAUUUUCAGCACUUGUUAUUUUUAUCUUUUGAGUAUUUUGCUAUUCGUUCUGGUGUCAGGUGCCAGCGAUACAUCAUUUUCAGCCAAUUUUCUCGGAGAUUGUUUGCAUAGGUAUAUUUCAAUUUCUUUUUCCAAAUUUGUUCCCAUUCACUGAGCAUAAUUGUUCUGCUUAUGUUUUUAGCCCAUUUUAUCAUACAUGGCUUGAUGUAAUCUAUUUCCGUGCUCCAUUCUAGUAGAAAUUUGUAGAUCUUGCUUGUCGCCUUCUUCCCAUUCAGUAAUACUUUAUCCCAUACUGUUUGUUUCUCUUCAAAUCCAAGUUUGGCGUCUUUUGUGAAAUGUUCUUUAAUUUGAUAGUACUGAAACCAUGAUAUGUUUAUAUUUUGUUUUUUCAAUUCUUCUAGGGAUUUUAUUUUUAGUUCUUUGCCUUCUUUCUUCAAGACAUCUCUGUAUGUUGGCCAUUUACUCCAUCCUGUUUCCCUCCUGUGGCCUGCCUCUGGCGGUGACAGCCAGAGUGGGGUUUUAUUAUAUAAUCUUUUUUUAUAUUUCUCCCAGAUUUUCAAUAGUGCGGAGCGGAUAAAAUGGUUUCCAAAAUUUCUUUCCGUUUUUUUCUUCUCGUACCACAGGUACGCGUGCCAACCUGCCCGCAGGUCAUGACCAUCUAGAGUCAGCAAUUUCUUGUUUUUUAAAUUUAUCCAUUCUCUAAUCCAGUUCAAUGCAUUAGCUUCAAAAUAUAAACUUACAUUUGGUAGACCCAAUCCUCCUUUUUCUUUUUCGUCAGUCAGAUUUGUGUAUUUUAUUCUCGCUUUUUUGUUGUUCCAGAUAAAUUUUAAUAUAUCUUUGUUCCAUUGUUUAAUUAGCUUCAGAUUUCUAAUUAUGGGUAGGUUUUGAAAUAAAUACAUUAAUUUUGGUAGAACAUAUGUCUUUAUCGCUGCAAUUCUGCCCAAAAUAGAUAAUUUGAGGUGAGUCCAGUUCUUAAGCUUUCUUUUGAUUUCAUUCCAUUUGUUUGUGUAAUUAUUUUGCAGUAAUUGCGAGUUUUUAGAUGUCAAAUAUACUCCUAAGUACUUUAUCUUGUUCACAACUCUAAAGUCCGUUAUCUUAGCUAGAUUCUCUUGUCGUUGUUUGGAGAUGUUCUUGGGUAAAAUUGUUGAUUUAUUUUUAUUUAUUUUGAGGCCCGAUACCUUCCCGAAUUCCUCUAUUUUAUGUAACCAUUCUUUGAUAUUAUUCAGUGGAUCCUCAACAAUACAUAUCAAAUCGUCAGCAAAAGCUCGUAAUUUAUAUGUUUCUUUGCCUAUUUUCAGUCCUUUGAGAUUUGUAUCCUUCCUGAUGUCGUUCAGUAGCAUUUCUAGUGAUAAUAUAAAUAUGAGCGGGGAUAGGGGACACCCCUGUCUCGUACCUUUCCUUAUUUUUAUUUUGCUUGUCGUUUGGCCAUUAAUCCAAAUACUUGCUUCUUGAUCAGUGUAGAUCGCUUGUAUGGCGUUUAUAAAAUUAUAACCCGCAUCCAUUUCUUUUAAUAGUAGUUUAAAAAAUUCCCAAUUAAUGCUGUCAAGUGCUUUCUCAAAGUCUAUAGCUAAUAUUGCCAAUUCUUUUUUAUUAUUGCACUCAUAGUACUCUAUAAUGUCAAUUAAGCUCCUGACGUUGUCUUUAAUGUUCCUAUUUGGUAGGAACCCAGUUUGGUCCUCCCCGAUCCAAGUUGUUAAGUAUUCUUUUAAUCUCUCCGCAAUUAUUGCCGUAAAAAUUUUAUAGUCGAUAUUUAAUAACGAUAUUGGUCUGUAAUUUUUGACGUUUGUAGCAUCAGUGUUUUCUUUUGGGAUCAUGACUAUAUUUGCCUCUUUCCAUGAGUUUGGUAUUUUACCCAAAUGUAGGGCUUGGUUCAUUAUAGUUUUUAAGUGAGGUAUUAAUUCUUCUUUAAAUUUUUUAUAGUAAAUUGCUGUUAGACCAUCUGGGCCUGGGGACUUAUUGUUGUUCAAUUUUUUUAUAGCAGUGUCUAUUUCUCUUUCUGUGAUGUCCUUGUUCUGUGAUGUCUGUGUCUCUGUUAAUUUCGGGAUAUUUUGUCUUCCUAAGUAUUUCAUUAUAUCCUCAUUUUUAAUAUGAUCCUUUGUGUACAAUUUUCCGUAGAACUUGUUGAAUUGUUUCAGAAUUUCAUGGUCUGUGGUAUAAGAUCUUCCUUCCUCGUUGAUUUGGAUUAUCCAGCUUUCUUGUUUCCUUUUCCUUAGCAAUCUUGUCAUCCAUUUCCCAGGUUUAUUUGCGUUAUUAAAAUGAUAUUGUUUCAUAAAUUUCAAUUCUUUAGCUCUCUGUUCCAUCUCUAAAUUUUGUCUUUGUCUUUGUAAAAUGUCUAAUUCUGUUUUAAUUGAUGUGUUAUUUGUUUAUUUAUUGCUUCCCUUUCUUCUCAACUC